AUAAUGAAAAUAUGCAUUCUGGCUGAACUGAGUGCACUUACAAAUGGAGAAUUAAGACCAGAGAACCAACUCCAGCCAGAGCAGUGCUUCAUGAACUCAUAAUGGGAAUCCAGAAGAGCUGAGCAAUGGAAUGCCUCAAAGUCAAGAGAGCAGAAAGGAGAAGAAGCAGAAGUCAGCGACCUGGAUAAUCCACAAACUGGAUCAUCAACUCCUGUAUAACUGAGACUUGACUGUUUUUCCAACUAAUGGAAAGUUUUGCUUACCAGCCAGGAAAAGGGAUGGAGUGGAGGCAAUGAGUUUGAGGUUAUUUCUCUUUUCUCUCUGAAGCUCCCGUUUACAGGAAUCAGAGCCACACAGGUGAACUGGAGAAUAGGCUCUUUUUGAAUGGUCUGAAAGAUAUUCCCAGAAGCAGCACAGAUUAGAAAUGGAAAGUACACAUCGGUUAUGGAGAGUGGAGAGAGCUUCCUUCAGAACUGUUUACAACACUGUACUCCUUAAAUAUACAUGUCCGUAGGUUAAAACCUUCUAAUUAUAUUAGGAACAUUUCAAAUAAGAAGCCUUUAAUAAAGGGAAACACAUGGUGCUAUUUAAUCUA